rnacentral:misc_RNA from 1 species
AUAAUAAGUGUUUUAUGGCACUUUUUAAAUCCAUAUCCACCUUGUGUGCAAUGUCAGUCGUUCUUUUCUAUGGGGAGAAUGACCAAACAUCACUUUAUUCUUCAACUCUUUGUCUGAAAAAUAUUAUGAAUAAAAUAAUUCAAAAUA